GUUAGAUAUUAGGAGGAAGUUUUUCACACAGGGGGUGGUGACACACUGGAACAGGUUGCCCAAGGAGGUUGUGGAUGCCCCAUCCCUGGAGGUAUUCAAGGCCAGGCUGAAUGUGGCUCUGGGCAGCCUGGUCUGGUGGUUGGCGACCCUGCACAUAGCAGGGGGCUUGAAACUCGAUGAUCAUUGUGGUCCUUUUCAACCCAGGCCAUUCUAUGAUUCUGAUUCUAUGAUCUGUGAUACCACAUUGAAUGUAUGCAUGUUUGUAUGUUAUUUCCUGGGGCAGAGCUCAUGUUUGUUUUUCAGAGUAAGGAAAAUAAAGGUCUCAGCACUUAGCCCAUGAUGACCGUUUUGCAGAAAUAGAACGCCAAGCAAGAAGAACGAAGCCUGCAGGAGUACAAGGAGGAAAUGAAAGUUGCCGUACCGACAGGGCUACACAAAUCCCGCGAUGGGUGGAUUAGGCUGAGCGUUAUCAGUGAUGAUGAAACACAGCAGACUGUGCAGCACCUUUUGCGAUAUGAGGCAUCGCAGGGGCAGGAACAAAGCGGGAGCCAGGUGAGACUGCUGGAGAGACAAAGGGUUCCCUCUGUGCCACAGGACUCCUCGCACUGAAGUGGAUAUUGCCAUUUGCUGUGAGUGCCUGGUCAUUACCAUUCCUUGUCCUUUAUUACGUGGAGGGGUCUCGUAGGGCUCUCAUGAACUUCCUCAGAAGUGUGUCCCAGCUUCCCUACGGCACUGCUUGAAUGGAGCGUGACAGCACUUGUCAGCAGAGCAGUUGUGGAGACACGCUGAAGAGCUCUAAUGCACUUUUUAAUCCUGCUUCAUCAACCUCCCC
ensembl:lncRNA